CCUACGGGUGGCUGCAGUGGGGAAUAUUGGACAAUGGGGGGAACCCUGAUCCAGCCAUGCCGCGUGUGUGAAGAAGGCCCGCGGGUUGUAAAGCACUUUCAGUGAGGAAGAACGCCUGGUGGUUAAUACCCAUCAGGAAAGACAUCACUCACAGAAGAAGCACCGGCUAACUCCGUGCCAGCAGCCGCGGUAAUACGGAGGGUGCGAGCGUUAAUCGGAAUUACUGGGCGUAAAGCGCGCGUAGGUGGCUUGAUAAGCCGGUUGUGAAAGCCCCGGGCUCAACCUGGGAACGGCAUCCGGAACUGUCAAGCUAGAGUGCAGGAGAGGAAGGUAGAAUUCCCGGUGUAGCGGUGAAAUGCGUAGAGAUCGGGAGGAAUACCAGUGGCGAAGGCGGCCUUCUGGACUGACACUGACACUGAGGUGCGAAAGCGUGGGUAGCAAACAGGAUUAGAUACCCCAGUAGUC
rnacentral:rRNA from 1 species